rnacentral:SRP_RNA from 1 species
CCGUGCUAGGUGGGGAAUUAGCGGUGCCCUGUACCCACAAUCCGCUACAGUGGGACUGAAUCCCUGUCCGAGGUGAAGGCAUCUUAAGGUCUGCCGUAAGAGCGUAGUGUUGACGUCCGGGUCCUGUGCAACGGGAACCCGUGAACCCUGUCAGGUCCGGAAGGAAGCAGCAGUAAGCGGUCAUUCUUGUGUGUCGCAGGGUCACCUGGACCGAGCUACAAACUUACGUAACGCUUAUGGAUGUCUCCAUCAACGAUAGGUGCACGG